rnacentral:rRNA from 1 species
GAUGAACGCUGGCGGCGUGCCUAAUACAUGCAAGUCGAGCGAACAGACGAGGAGCUUGCUCCUCUGACGUUAGCGGCGGACGGGUGAGUAACACGUGGAUAACCUACCUUUUAGUCUGGGAUAACUUCUGGAAACCGGAGCAAAUACCGGAUAAUAUAUUGAACCGCAUGGUUCAAUAGUGAAAGACGGCUUUUCUGUCACUUAUAGCUGGAUCCGCGCCGCAUUAUCUAGUUGGUAAUGUAACGGCCUACCAAGGAGACGCAUCGUAGCCGACCUAAGAGAAUGGUCGGCCACAGUAGAGCGAAGACCAGAAACCGCCUCCUACGGGACGCAAGAGUAGGGGAGCGUCCGAAAUACGAGAAAGCCUGACGGAGCAACAGCGCGUCGGUGAGGAAGGUCUACGGGUCGUAAAGCACUGUUUUUAGGGGAGAACAAAUGUGUAAGUAACUGUACACGUCAAGACGGUACCUAAUCAGCAAGCCACGGCGAACAACGAG